rnacentral:lncRNA from 1 species
CACGAACUGGCCAUCUUUGUGCAGGGAUGAAAGAGCAGUAUGAAGGGAAGAAGGUUUUAGAUGCCAAAGAUCACCGCUCCGCAAGUGACC